AUCGCUCCUCGGCCUUUUGGCUAAGAUCAAGUGUAGUAUCUGUUCUUAUCAGAUUAAUAUCCGAUACAUCCUCUAUCCGAGGACAAUACAUGAAAUGGAUUUGGGGGGGCAGAGAUUGGAAUAGGAGCUUGCUCCAUCCACUCCGCACAUCGACCUGGUAAUGCAGCACCUCCAGGAAUGGUGCCCGGGAA